rnacentral:rRNA from 1 species
GACGGAGGGUGCUAGCGUUGUUCGGAAUGACUGGGCGUAAAGGGCGCGUAGGCGGCUCGUGAAGUCGGGUGUGAAAGCCCGGGGCUCAACCCCGGAACGGCAUCCGAUACUGGCGGGCUUGAGACCGGGAGAGGAGGGUGGAAUACCCAGUGUAGAGGUGAAAUUCGUAGAUAUUGGGUGGAACACCGGUGGCGAAAGCGGCUCUCUGGCCCGGAUCUGACGCUGAGGCGCGAGAGCGUGGGGAGCAAACAGG